GAUGAACGCUGGCGGCGUGCCUAAUACAUGCAAGUCGAGCGAACAGACGAGGAGCUUGCUCCUUCGACGUUAGCGGCGGACGGGUGAUUAACACGUAGGUAACCUACCUAUAAGACUGGGAUAACUUCGGGAAACCGGAGCUAAUACCGGAUAAUAUUUCGAACCGCAUGGUUCGAUAGUGAAAGAUGGCUUUGCUAUCACUUAUAGAUGGACCUGCGCCGUAUUAGCUAGUUGGUAAGGUAACGGCUUACCAAGGCAACGAUACGUAGCCGACCUGAGAGGGUGAUCGGCCACACUGGAGCUGAGACACGGUCCAGACUCCUACGGGAGGCAGCAGUAGGGAAUCUUCCGCAAUGGGCGAAAGCCUGACGGAGCAACGCCGCGUGAGUGAUGAAGGUCUUCGGAUCGUAAAACUCUGUUAUUAGGGAAGAACAAACGUGUAAGUAACUGUGCACGUCUUGACGGUACCUAAUCAGAAAGCCACGGCUAACUACGUG
rnacentral:rRNA from 1 species